GCCGGCCCCGGCGCGCUUGGCGGCGCGAUCGUCUAUGAAACCGUCGAUGUCGACGACGUUCUGGCGCCGGGCCGGUC
rnacentral:tRNA from 1 species